CUAAAAGUAAAAAUAUUACUUGAUACAAGAAUAAAGACUAUGUUUUCAGUGUCAUGAGUUUCAGUCAUCAUAUUUGUUGGACUUUGUUGUUUAAAAGUUUUUUGUGGUAAUAAGAUAUAGCAAACAGGAAGUCUUCAAUGAAAAGUCAGAAUAGUUCCUUUUUUGGUGGGAAUCUUGAAGGUACAGUAUUAAAUGGCAGAUUAAGAGUUUGCUCAAGUUUAAAACUAUAAUUGGGACACACAAACUGCUUUGUAUUUUCAGAUAAAAUAUAGAUGAAUAGGAUCAAUUUAGUUUAAAGAAAAAUCUGAUUAGCCUGCUAGCAUUCUAAAUUUAGAAUGUAAAUAAGCCCAAAAUAAAAAUGACCAUGAAAGGGAAGAAAACAUUAUUUUGCUGUUAAUAUUUAUUUAACUGUGUUAUCAUACAACUAAAUUUAUCUAAUUUGCAAACACUUUUACUCUCAAUGCUUUGCAUGCAUGUUCUCAACAAUGAUCAAUGAUGAUGUCAAGAAAACAUUCUUGUAAAAGAGAAGGAUGAAGCUAAAAACAAGUUUUCAAUGGAAAUAUUAAAUUCAUUAAAAAUAUUUAAACCAUAUGUGUUUUGUUUGUUGGAAUGAGUACUGAUAUACUUUAUUUGUAGUUCUAUAGAAUAAAAAUUGAAACAUUUGUUAUUGAUUAAAUCAGGAACAUUUGUAUUGACAGGACUCGAAACUACCUAAUUAUAGCAGAUUCUAUGUCCUUUCACAGUUAAUAAAUCAUGACAAGAAACAGAAACAGGCG
rnacentral:lncRNA from 1 species